GAUGAAGAACGCAGCGAAAUGCGAUAAGUAAUGUGAAUUGCAGAAUUCAGUGAAUCAUCGAAUCUUUGAACGCACAUUGCGCCCCUUGGUAUUCCGAGGGGCAUGCCUGUUCGAGCGUCAUUAUAACCCCUCAAGCUCAGCUUGGUGUUGGGGCCUGCUGCACUGGCAGCCCUUAAAAUCAGUGGCGGCGCCAUCUGGCUCUAAGCGUAGUAAUUCUUCUCGCUAUGGAGUCCUGGUGGAUGCUUGCCAUCAACCCCCAAUUUUUCUAUGGUUGACCUCGGAUCAGGUAGGGGUACCCGCUGAACUUAAGCAUAUCAAUAAGCGGAGGA
rnacentral:misc_RNA from 1 species